AUAAAAUCUGUGCAGGAUUUACCCUGAAAAGCUGCAGGUGGUGGCUAGGGUAGAGUUCUUAUGAGUACAUAUAUGACUUUUCACUCAGCCCUAUAAAAAUUAACAAAGGAGGCAAUGUGGCUGGUUUUUGCAGUUCACAUACCUGACCUUUUACUCACUUGAAGUUGAAUGUCCUCCUGGGCAGCUUAUAGUGUUGUUACCAUGUCAGAGCUAUUUGUGUUGCUAUUUGAAUAUACCACCUUGUCAAGAUUUUAGUGUAAAGUUUCCAAGAGAAGAAUAAAUCUCUGAGUAUGUUGUUUAUCUUUCCAUUUUUAUUUUUCACUAUCUGUGUGUAUGCCUAUGAAAUGAGACAUCUGAAAGCGAUAAUAUGAUACAAUUUCUCUUCGUACAUAGGUGACAGAUAC